GUUUGUUUGUUUUUAGUUUUUGGCUUUACCUCACAUUUUCCUGGAGAGAUUAAAUAAUUAAAGCUAAUGAAAGUGAGGUGUGCCAUCAGAAUUAUAUGAUCUUAGUGCUGAAUUUCCCCCGGAUUUUUUCAGAGGUACAAACUGAGCAAAAGCAUCUUAAACCUGUGGAAGGGGAUAGGUAUGCCUCAAAUACAGCUUGAAUUCCCCAAGUAAUACGGAGUGUUGACCAGAAGCCAGCGUCACAAUGCAGGCAGGUAUGUUCUGAUUCAAAGCUUAUAUCUAAUAUUUCUACUUUAUUGAGGUAAUCAGAAGGUAACCUUGCCUUGAGUAUCGAGUCUAACUGGUGUUAGCAAACCUAAGAAAAGUACUAAUUCCGUAAGUAUAGAUAGGUAUGGUUAAGUGAUAACAUUUAAACGGUAUUUUUGGAAUUUCAGGAAGGUUCUUUAAGAACAGGAACUUUUGUACCCUUCAGCAGAAGCCUCUUACCCUUCUGGAUGACAAUACAAAUUCUUAAAAUUCAGUGAUGAGAACCUUGGCCUUCUGAGGUGAAUACUUCAUCCCUAAAAUAUGCAUUUCUUUCCACCUCCUUUCCUGUGACUCAGAAAUACUGUGGCUGGCUGAUGGUGCAGAAAGAGCUGCUACAACUAAGGUAAUUUAGAAGAGGAAGGAUGGAACAGACCCAUAAUCAGAACAAUGGCUAAUGCUCUGGGAAAUGGUCUAAAUACAGUUCAUGAGGUGGCAGAGAAUAGAAGGUUUCAUUUACAGAUCUUUAUUUCCACGUAGAAUCAAGUGAUUUUCUUCCCUCUCCACAAGUGAUGAGAGGGGUUUUUGUGUUCCUGCGUGACACCAGCCCUGCAGCCCUUGACAGAAGAGACAAAAUGCUUCUCCUCACCCCCAGCAAAUGCUGGGAACAACAGUCAGCCGCGAUGGCCGGGCAGAGGCUGAGGCGGGCACAUCUCGGGCCGCCACAGCACUGAGGCCCUGAGGAGACAGCCGAGGCCCCUCAAAAUGGCGCCUCUCCCCUCAGCUCUCCCCCCAGCGGCCGGCCCGUUCUCCGGUGAGCCGCCCGCCCCCAGGAGCCUUUUUGAGGUACGCUGUCCGGCUGGGAAGGAGCAGAGCAAGGAGGUUGAGUCUGUCCCUGAACAACGUCUGUGAAAUGGCUGCAUAUUUAAGGUUGAGAGCAAGUGCGGGUGGAAGUGUGCUCGGCCUUGUCAGGUGGGUCUUCACGCUGCACACGGGAGCCGUGCUGUCCUCUCCCCAUACAGCAAUUCUGUCGCCCCUUCUGUGCUGGCUAGGCUUUCUGCUGAUAGUUAUCAAACAACUAUAAAAGUGCCACCAUUUGAAAUAUCCUUCAUGGUGGGAUUGCUGUUGACCCCUUGCCUGCUUUUCUCUCAGCAUUUCUGAUGCUGGGUGCCUGCCCCUUCAGGCCACCACACCAAUAAACACCCACCUAGGCAUGCCCGUGUCACAUUUUCACUUACAAAUGCAACAAGGUCAUAUCCCAAUUAUCCAUACUGUUGAAUUCCCAGUAUGGCCCCACCAGAGCAGCCUGAAACCACAUGGGUACGGCUGAGGGCUGUCUUUUUGCCUGAAGUCAGUCAGGCUGUGGGCACUAUUUGGGAGAUCAUGUGGAGAAAGGUAAAACACUUAAGACAUGAGAGGCAAGCCAUGCUGAGAGCAUUUAUUUGUCCAUAUGAACACCACCAGUGCUCCCAUAACGCACCAUUCCCCCCUGCAGGUGCUGUUGGGCUCUUUUAGUGACUGCAGCUGUCUGUGAGGAGAGCAAGACAGGUGCUUGGGGAGCUGUUACUGUGAUCAGGUGUUGCCUGAAAGUAAUUUAUCAGUGGGGGGGAGACAGUGGCUGUGCUGUUUUCCGAACAUAGUCUCUGGCAGCUGGGCCUCUCUGGCUUGGUGCCUCAAAUGUCCACUGUGGCACAGAAGCUGCAAGAUGGAGCCUGUGCUAGCAGUGGCUGCAGUGGCCACCAGGCUGGGCAGGCUUCCUUUCCCUGCUGCUGUGUGUGCCUGGUGGUACCAGGCAGCAGGAGAGAGCUGGACCACCACACUGGGUAUUAUGCAAUCCUAACCAGCUCUCCCUAAAUUAUACUGCCUUCAUUGGUGUCCUUCCCCAGCACAAGAGGGAAUCUGUGAUGGGGUGUAACUUGUGGUCAAGACACUGAUGAGAAUUAAAAGAACCUGCACCCAAGAACAAUGUUUGAGUGGACUUCUGGAGCAUAAGCACUUUAUCAGGAGAUAACAACCAGGAAGUAAGUGCCUCCCCCGGAAGG